UGUUUAACAAAGAGAAGCAAAGCCGCGAGGUAGAGCAAAUCUCAAAAAAACAUCUCAGUUCAGACUGCAGGCUGCAACUCGCCUGCACGAAGUCGGAAUUGCUAGUAAUCGUAGGUCAGCAUACUACGGUGAAUACGUUCCCGGGCCUUGUACACACCGCCCGUCAAACCAUGAGAGUUGGCAACACCCGAAGUCGGUAGUCUAACCGCAAGGAGGACGCCGCCGAAGGUGGGGUUGAUGAUUAGGGUUAAGUCGUAACAAGGUAGC
rnacentral:rRNA from 1 species